AGGACUGUAGUUAAUUAUAACAUUUGAUUUGCACUCAAAAAGUAUUGGUUUCAAUCUGUCUUA
rnacentral:tRNA from 1 species